ACUAGCUCCCAGUACUUGCAAGAGCCUGGGCCAGUGAGGGGUCCUGAAGCUCAAGCAUUAUUAACUUCACUGUAGAGCUGUUUCUGGUCUAAGAAUCAGUGUCGUCUGCAUGAAGUGGGCUUUUCUGGAGCAAUUAAUGCCCUGGGCACAGUGCUCCAUGUACCCCGAGACCCCUUGCAUACCCAUUUCAUGGAGUGGAUAAUCCAUUUGCUGGUCCUCCACAAGAUUAGAGCUAUUGAGAAUCUUAACUAGACAUACUUUGAGAAUCUUAACUAGAUAUACUUUGCUGUUAGUAUAAUUUACGGCAUUGUGUUAAUUCUCACUCAGCUUCAUCACCUCGUUGGAAGGCAGAAAGACAAGCCAAUAGACAAACUAGAAAAACCAAAAAUAGUUGACUAACUUGGAGCUGAUCAUGCUACAUGAGGACGUGGUCGUCUGAGCUUCAGCAAUUCCAGCGUAUUAUUAUUGUUUUUUUUUUUUUUAUCAUCCCUGGACCAUCCCAGUUAUUACCCAGCUUUUGAUCCUUUGCCAGUGUUCAUUACUUUAGGUCAACAGGAGAUUGAUAAAAGUAACUGUCAAGUUGAAUCUUAAAAUAGAGAACCAAAAUGUAGCUGAAAAAAUAUGCAUGUGUUCUAAUACUUCUGAAUGUUCUUAGAAAAUUGCUAAUCCGAAUUUUAAACUAUUACAUUUCAUUUUUUAAAAUACACAAGACAUUUGUUUCAUAAGACAUUUGUGAUGUUAUAUUUUGAUAUUCUGAAUAAUCCCCCUUGUGCCACAGUUUAGUAUAGUUUCAACGCAACAAAUAUAAUUUAGCUAAAAUUAGCUGAAAGCAUAAUGGAUAUUAAAAACCUUCUGAGAUACAAAGUUAAGAACAUUACAUAUUUCUUUGGUAUUGACUUUAUGUGAUGAAUCAUAUUAAUACAUCUCAAGUCAUUAAUCUUGUCUGUUUGUAUUUACUUAACUGGGAUAUGUAGUUUUGUUAUAUUCACUAUUUACGCCAGUUAUGGCGGAUGCUAUUUCACAUAUAUCUAAAAUUGGUUUACAUAUCAAGAUGAUUUAUUUAAACUAGACCAACAUCUACAUUCAUUUAUGCUGUGGAAAUCAGCUUUGAUUGUCUUUGUAGCCAACUUGGAAAAAAAAUCUGGUAAAAUCAUUUAGUUUCUGAGUUUGCUUUACGAGUGAUUUUCUCUGGGAAAAGAAGGGGGGGACUUCUGCUAAAUUGGGGAUCUGGGUAACUGAGCAUCUCUGGGAGGAACAAAGGAAUAGAACAGAGGGGCUAAUUGUUUAAUUAGUAAAUGUCUGCUUGGUUAAUGACAUAUUAAUGAGUUUUUAAGACCGUCAUAUCAUUUACCAUAAAAGACCCAUGUGCCUAUCCCUGGAUGUACUGUAUAAUUAAGUAAUGUGGCCCAGAGGAGUUAAUCAUUUAAAACCCUGUCAUCUUUCUCAAGUUUGCAGAUAGAAGAGCUAGCACAGAAGGCACCUGCCAGGUAGAGUCAGGGUGGCACAUAAUUCUGAACUAAAUUGUCUCUCUGCAACGGCUGCACAGUCAGAUGUCUGCCCAGAAGCAGAAAUUUUUUUUUUCUUUUGACAACUGAAAAAGCUGCUAAGAUACUGCCACUUGCUCCUUGGCACUCAGUUACUGGUAGUGAGAGUAUGUGUUUGCAGAAUAGGGACCACGUGAGCGGCUUUUGAGUACUUAAAAGACUGUGGAGGCUCAGAGGACUCAGAGAUUCUAAAACUGUGCUAUUCAAUAUGGCAGCCACUUGCCACGUGUAACUAUUCAAAUUUAAUUAAAUUAAAUAAAAUUUUAAAAUUAUUAUUUUUUUCAGUCAUAUCAGCCACUUGUCAAGUGCUCAAUAGCCACAUGUGGCAAGUGGCCCCUUUCUUGGUGGCACAGACAUAGAACAUUUCCAUCAUCACAAAUGGGAUGGGAUGGACCACAUUGUGGCUAAAUGCAAAUGGUGGUGGGGGCCACCAGGACACUGGCAAGCAGUGCUCACCCUGUGUUCUCCAUUCGCACCCGUGGAAAGCUGAAGAGAGAAUGCAUUCUUCAAACCCUGGAAUGUCAGCCCCAGUCCUACACCAAUAGUUCAUAUCCUUUUUUUCAUGGGGCAGAAUCCACACCAGAAUAUUGCAGCCAUUUGUUUAGACUAGAAAACGAUAAUUUCCCUUACCACAGAGCACACAGUUUGGGGGAUGAAAAUUAUGUUCUUAUUGGUAAAUUAUAGAGCUUACUACCACAAGCAGCACUAUGAAAUUUUCCAGCCCAGCUCUUUGUUCUAACCUACUUCCCUUAGACCCUCCAGAGCUUCUUGUUUCAGACCCGCAGAACUGAAUUCAAGUCAGAAACUGUAGUUCCACUGCUUUUGCAUAUGUCCAUGUGGUUUUUCAAUGUAAGAUAAACUCUAUACUCAAAAACUUUUGAGUGCCUCAAUUUUCUUCGACCUUCUGCAGAAAAAAGAGUUCUCCAAAUGGGUUAUUUUAAACAAUUUACUUCUCAUUCCUGUUUCUUGAGCUCCACUCUACAGUCGGAUUUGCAUUAAUAUUUUCUUGCUUUAGAUCUCUCCUCUCUCUUCCUGGCCUCUAUUUUUCUAAAUAUUUUUGUCAUGUUUUAGUCAUUUUAAAUUUAAUAUCCUGCAAAUGUCUAAUUAAUUAUGUAAGCAUGUGCCACCUUAUACAACUGGAGAGUGAUUCCAGUAGUCUUCAGGGUAGAAAUACUUAAGACCCCCUUCCUGAUCUGCUGGUAGGAGCAAGAGGUCUAGGAGCUCAAUCUGUUUCCCUUCAAGAUUCCUGCUGAAUCUUGACAAGGGAACAAGAACCUUGUCACCUACAUUGGGAAUCUUUGCUGGAGCUGUGUGAUAAUGGUGCUACUGCCAAUAACUUGGCACUGGCCAUAUCACACCUGACGCAAAUGCUCCAAAUAAUAUAAGCCUGGAGUCCCAAUCAUCCCACAAAUGCUAACACAUCAGACACCUUCUAAUUUCCAGCAGUCCAAGACUUUCUCUGUGUGAUUUGCAGUGGAAGAAGAACAAGCAGUUUAUUUUAAAAAACAUAGUUCCGGAGGUCAGUUAACGUACACAGCUCAGACAUAACUCUCUAGAUAAGUGCACAUCCAUCUUUCUGAGUUAGAGAAGUCCUGCAGAAAGUAUUGCUUGAGCGUAAAAAAAUGUUAUCACAAAAUUCAUGUAUUUCCGCCUUGUCUGACAUCAAAUAGGGUAGAUAGAUUCUUGCACACAAGUGUCACGUCUUUCCCUACUUCAUUGGCGGAAGGAGUACACUAUUUCUCUCCUUGCCCCUGUGACUUUGUCUCAUGGUGGACAAAGUGUACUUUUCCACCUCUUGGUCUGGGGCUUAAGUAUGUGUUUUACUUUCGUCAAAUAGAUCUUAUCAGGUACAAUUUUAUCAGAGGCAUAACCUACACUUGCCCAGUUGGGCUUGCACUCUUGUAUUCCUGCCUUUUAUCAUGAGAAGAUACCUUGAGUAACUUUUCUAAGCGGAUGAGAGAGACACACACGGAAUAACUUGGACCCAAUCUGAAGCCUGGACCCCAACCCAGCUGAGGCUAACCUAGCUCAGCUACAUCCCAGCUACCCUGAAGAUGUGUGAGUGAGAGAAAACAUGCUUAGUUUUGUAUGCCACUGAGAUUUUGGAUCUGUCAAUAACUGAGACAUCAGCCUUUUAAUGAUUAGCAAGACAAUAUUAAUUGUGUGUGAAGGUCAAAGGGCAUCUGAGGUUGUACGGGCAUGAUUGUCUGUUCUUUCUGGCUUUGUACUUUCGUGGUUAUGAAACACUUGGAACCAGAACAGGAAGAGUAUUUGCCAUUUCAGCCCUACCCUUACAUACUGACAUGGUAGAGAAGUACAAGAAGAUGGUCUUAGUCUUUGUCUUGGUGAGGCAUGCCUGAAAUGCAGAAGUGGGUAAAGGCCUUAGUUCUUGUGAGGCCUGUGAAGAUGGCUUUGAGAGCCAUUAGGGAAUUUUAUAAAUAUCCUAUUUCGCCUCCUUCCAGGACCAUGCUGUGUUUGCAUGUCUCCACUCUCCUUGAAGUUGUCCUUGGCCAAUUACUUGUUUUGGACAAUAAAAUAGGACCCACCACAACAAUUGAAGAAUGAUAUGGAAAGCCUUGAUAUACGAGUCAUAAAAUGGGAAGAUACAAAUGAAAAGGCACUUCUAGAGGGAAAUAUGUAUCACGGAGUCACUAGUCUACAGGUUCUGCCACUUAGAAGGCUAUGUAACCUUAGCCAAGUUACUGCUAUAUCACUUGAAGCUUCACAUUCCAUACAUGCAAAAUGGUGAUAAUACCAGUACACAUUUCAUAGACCUCUAGAGGAGUGGGUGGUAAAUGAGAAAAUUCACACAUCCCAGUGCCUGUUUAUCCUGUAUAGUAAAUACCAACAAAUAGAGGCUACAAUUACUUAAAUUAAUGGUCAUUUCAGUUUCUCCCGAGGACUAUGACGGUAUUUUUUUUUUCCUACUAAGCAAUCAAUUUGCUGUUUCUAUGUAAUACUUUUUUGGAGAGGAAGACAAACUUCCUAAAAAUGUUAAGCUAUCAAAAUAAAAAUGAAAAAAUGCACUUUUCUGUUAUUUCAACAUCACUCGUCCAUUAGACCAGAAACACCAAGUAAGCAUGACCAUCAAGGCAGUUCUUUGUGCAGUUUGGUAAUUCCUUUUAAGGCCCCCAGGGAGGCUGGUAGGAAAGAAUACUGAAUAGGAAAGCAAACAAGAUUAGGUCAGCACCCACUCUCCCUUUGGGGGGAUUCACAGUACUGUUUUUGUUUGAAUAAGCAAAGCUCUUGCAAAAGUUUGGCUUGUUUCUCACUGAAUCCAACGUCUUUUCCCUAUCCUUCGGCUAAUAUUUUAAAAGGUAAAGCAAGCAUUAGAAAAAGUAAAGUGGCAGUUUAAAUAAAAAGUGGAGAAAUGUUUUUCAAAAGGCAAACAAAGUCAGCCAAAAUAAGACAGCCUUCCUUAGCUGUAUGAACUGAAAAUCGGUGAGUGAAGCUAUGGAAACGUCUGUGUGCCUCUUCCCUGCCUGUAUCUAUCUUGGACACUUACAUCUUCACAUCAACAAAAUUAGUAAGGAAGUUAUUACCCAAUUUUACAAAUGAGGGAAGAGCAAUUAAGUAAAUUUAAAAGCACGAAAUAAAAAUGGGAUUUCACUCAUUCAUUAAACAGAGAUUUAUGAAUGUUGGUUUUAUGGCAAACACUGUUUAAACCACAAGGAUGUAACCUUGACCAAGUCACAGAAUAGAAUUUCAAGCAGCUAGAAAUGUAAUGGUGGGGUGGGAGGUAGACAAAUAAACAGAACUAGUGUGAUGAGGGCUUUGAAGGCUCCUUGGAGGAGGUGAAUUCAAGCUUGAGUCCUGCUGGGUGACUGCAGGUUAGCAUCUGCUAGGGCGAGAGGGCAGGGCACCAGGGGAAACAGAGGCAGGUCAAGGUGGCUGGAAUGUGGCAUGAGAGGCAAGCAGUGGCCAGAGCACUUGGAUCGUGAAGUUCCUUCUGCAUUAUGGCAUCUGGACUUCAUCAGAAUACGUUGUCGAUAUCCACUGUCUUUAUUAGAAUCUGAUAAAUCCUUAACCUUUCUAUCAUUACCACCUCCAUCCAAGCCAUUACAAUUCCUUACUGUGAUUAUUAUCAUAUUCUUUUGUGUGAUCUCCCUUCUGAUCUUGAGGUCAAGUCUAUUCUAACACUACCAGAGUAAGCCUGUUAAAAUGUAAGUUAGAUUAUAACUCUUCGGCUUACAACUUCCAAUGUUUUUUACUUAUUAAGAAAACAGACAAAUGAAAAAGAGCCUGGAUCCAUAUAGCCUGUAUGGCUUUACUGGAUCUGCUACCUUCUUUCACCACUCAGUUUCUACCAUAUACUCUCUGAUCUCACUUCUUAUUGCUGUUCCCUCUCCUCAUUCUGUCUGGUCCACUGAUUCAGCUUCCCUCCUGUUUCUAGAGCACACACAGUGCCCACAGCAUGCUGUCACCACAGGACCUUUGCACCUGCGACUCUCUCUGCUUAGAAUGUUUCUUCUUUCUGACCUCCUUAUUAAGGUCUCUACUUAAAUGUCACCUUCCUGCUGAGGCUUCCCCAAUCCCCUUUAUGUAAAGUUGUAACUCAUCCUCCUACCCACCUCAGGAAUCCCUGUCAUGGAAUUCACUACCUAACAUACUUAAAUUUCAUGUGUUUCUCUUGUGUAUCGUCCAUCUCCUCCUCUAGCAUGUGAUCUCCUCGAGAGGAGGCAUGUCUGCCUGUCUGCUCACUGCUGUGUCUCCAGUACAAACACCAGUGCCUGGAAUAGAGAAGCUUUCCACUGUUUAUUGACCACAUGAAUGAGUACACCUGGACACAACUGGAACAGUCGCAUAUGCCUUCUGAAUGGAGCUUUCAUUUCCUUAUAAGACAAGUAGUAAACACUGAACUUCU